GGGCCGCUGGGGAGGGAGACUUGGGAAAAGCACCCGAGGCUGGGUGGGUGCAGCUGAGCUCUUCCAGCUGAGUGCGAUCCAGGCCUUCCUGUUACGUGUCACCGCGCAGUUGGGGUGCAGGGGCAGCGCUCCAGGGCCCACGUGCUGGCAUGGGUUCCCUGGAGCCCAGAACUGCGCUGCUCACAGAACUCGCGUCCCCCUUGCCACAUGGGCUUGGUCACAGAAGGGACAAACACCCUCAAGGUCCUAUGCCAGGCCUGAGGUCAGGGGCCCUGCAAAAGAGGAUUUCCUGAAGAGGAGGGUCCACACACACAGGUAGCCAGGAGAGACUGGAGCUGCUCUGCUGCAGUGCAUUUCCUACUCAGCUUUUCCUGGCUGCUGUCAGAGGUAGGUCUUUCUUGGACUGAAUGACAAGAACCCA
rnacentral:lncRNA from 1 species